rnacentral:rRNA from 1 species
UACCAGCACCCCGAGUGGUCGGGACGAUUAUUGGGCCUAAAGCAUCCGUAGGCGGUCAUGCAAGUCCUCCGUUAAAUCCACCUGCUUAACAGAUGGGCUGCGGAGGAUACUACAAGGCUAGGAGGCGGAAGAGGCAAGCGGUACUCAGUGGGUAGGGGUAAAAUCCUCUGAUCCAUUGAAGACCACCAGUGGCGAAGGCGGCUUGCCAAUACGCGCUCGACGGUGAGGGAUGAAAGCUGGGGGAGCAAACCGG